GGAUUCGCGUUUUUGCGCUCCUUGUACCGGUGCCAUCGUCUCGGGUUCACUCCAGCGUUUAACUGUCGAUUGGAUACCAUGACAUUUUGGUUAUUUUGAGCAUUUAACAUUCCUACGUCGUCUUUGUAAUGCGUUUACCUGCGUUUAAAACGAACUGUUUUAGGAUUUAAAGAUAAACAAUGUCAUCAUUUACUCAACCUCACGUUCUCCCAAACCCCUUUUGACUUUCUUUCUUUUGCUCAACAAAAGGAGAUGUUAGGCAGUAUGUUAAGCCCUGACAGCCUCCGCCACCAUUCACUUUAUUGCAUUUUUUGUGUGUAAGUGAAUGUGACUAAGAAAGAAACUCAUACUGGUUUGAAACAAGAGGGAUUGCUUUUGGCAGUGUUAGGCCUUUUCGACAGUAUUUUCAAUCCCCACAGUGUCUGUCUGGCCGUCUGCGUGUGCUGCUGAAGCGCAGUUGCUGAAAGAGGAUCAUUUGUGCAAAAAUCAACCUAAGAAAUGGUCAAAAUCACAUGCGGUGCGCCGGAGCUGCUCAGCCGUUGUCAUGGAUAACAUGGUGGGCACCCUGUCUCGGUCAGUGGGAUGUCCUGCAGAUUGAGCCAGGCGCCCUGUGGAGCCACGGAGCGGCCUUUAAAAUUGACCCCCCGCAGAGGACCGGGGCCCCUCUUGUCUCGUCUGAGCGCACGCCUGGAGACCGCUUUUAAAUGUGCUUCUGGUGUCCCAGAGAGAGAGGCCGCUGGCACGAAGGGGCGAAAGCUCACCGCAGUGGUCCCUUUUUCUUGGAUAAAUUCAAAGGAGGAAAAUAGCCCACAUUACAAGCUCCUUAAGGGUCAAGGACAGCCGAGACAUGAAUGGUUUGAAAGAGUGGCAUUGUGAAAUCACAUAGCACACGAUUACACCCUCUGUCAUCUUUUUACGGAUUUGCAUUUUUCUUGCACCACAAUGAACAGUUCAGAAUAAGACUUACAAGACAUGUGGAUGAAAUUAAUUAAGACGCUGGAGAAAAAGAGGUGUGAACGACAAAAGCGGUGGUCCUGUUCGGAAUAAACGCUGUUGCUAUUUUAGGAUGAUUUUAAUGAGUGGCAAAACAUUUUUAUUAUUAUUAUUUAUUUUCUCUUUUUUUUUGUUUGGAUCCGAUUUGAAAAAUAUUGAACGUUCAAAGGAGGAACAAAAUCUCACGUCGGACGUAAUACAAGUAAUGAAGGCAUUUGCAACACUUCAUUUCACUGCUAACUGAACUCAAAUGGUCUCACUUUUGGCUAGUAUUUCCCUCUACGCAGCAGGGAUGGCGGUAGAUUGAUGCCCUUACAUUAUUCAUGCAACAAUUAUUCAAAAUUUAGCAAUAACUCAACAGCGUUUUGUCCUUUCUCUCAUCCGUCUCUACUCUUAGCGUACAUAGGUAUGCUGCUAUUCUUAUGCGACCAUCAUCCAUUGGACAGUGCAGCCCCAGAAAGCACCCUUAAACACUCCCCCAUUGUACUGUCACAAGCCUGGAGAGUUCAUGUUAUAUUUAUGUUGCCUACAGCGUAUUCUCUCUGUUCUGUUCUGUUCAGCUGAACUCACGCCAACUCCUCCAGGUCCCCCCUCCACAGACAAUGUUACAUCUCAUUGGCUUUGCCCUAGAUAGGCUAUUUUUGUAUGAAAUAAUUAGACAUAACUGAUUUAAAUACUGCAAAGCCAACACUCUUUUGUCUCGUUAACAAAGUACAGGAAAGGCACAUGCUUGUCAUGUCAUUUCUGUCAAUCCCUACAAAUACCAAUGAGUCCAAAGCUAAUGGAUCUGAAGGCGAGCCAAAAAAUGGAGAACUUUAUUUGAUUUGGAUACGUUCGGGAACGAGCUACAGUGACCUGACCUGAUAGAAUCUAUUAUGAAAGCAAAAAAAAAAAAACACUGCCAGGAGCUUUUAAUUGUCUCAACGUGUAUAUCAGCAAAAUAUAGGAUUGCUAAAAUAUGCCGGCGUACAGCACUAAUUGUCCAUAUAAGGACAGCGCGGCGCUUAAAACAGCACGUUUUGUUUGUUACACUGACCCCGGACCCAGACAGCCGUGCUGAUGCCGAGUGCACACGGGCACACGAGGGAGAGGUGGAGAGCAGGAACGCAGAUUGGGGCUGACCGCUCGGCUGCACUUUAAUGUACCCUCUACUUCAUCAGUCCUGAUUAGCCACCAUAAAAAUCCAGAUUGAACAUUACAGUUUUACUGCUGAUUGUCUUCCAAACACUCUCAGGUGUUGGCGUGUUAAAUGCCAGGGUGUGCAUCUGUCCUCGCGUCCCAUUAGCCUGCUGCACGUGAGACGUCUGACUUGAAAAAGGGGGACCCUCUUCAGAAACGAAAGCAAUGCAGAACAAAUUUCAGGCUUUUAGGCUUACUGCGUCUUGUGCCAAAACCUCAAUAACAAGCCCCCCUCCAAGCCCCCGUUUCUCUGGCUCUUGCCCCAGACUUACACAAAGAAACACCAGCUUUAUAGACUUAGGGCAUUAAGGCAUAAAAAACAGCGGACGGAGAACAGGUUAGUGACACAUGGCGCCAAAAGCAGGACCCGAUCUUGUCAGAUCUCGCACAGGCCGUACAGUUUAACGCUCCAAUUCGUAGGUGCGCCGACUUGUUUUCAAAAGGCCACAUGAAAGGGCUUAGCGAGAGAGAUGAGCAUUGGCGGCGAGGAGGCCGGCGCUCCAGCAAAAACGCUUUUCUGAUGAGCUGCAACAAUGCACUCACUCCCACGACAUCAGCUCUCUGUUGGGAGUCUCCUCCUAAUUUCCUCCAUCCAUAAUAAAAAGAGCUACAUUAAACAGUGCCAUUAGUGCCAGCAAUUUGUUUUAUUCUCCACAGAAAGAGAAAUGUUAUCUGUGGCGGACAAACUUAACCCAAUUAAAGCUCAUUGUGUAUGGGGGCCUUGCUGGGUCUUCAGCUGAUGCCUAGGAACGAGGGCAGAGGAAGCCAACUUUGGGGAGGGAGAGGGGGAAAAAGAGAACGUUUGGAACACGUCUGGAGAAUUAGGGAAACUAGGAGAGAGACAAAUGUGCUUUCAGGAAAAUAGACGGGAAGAGAAAUUAUGUUUUCCUGCAUUUUCCCCCACAUCAAAUCCCUCCCAAGAUAGUUUGAUAGAGGAAUGGUGUGCGAAAUGUACACUUGAAACUAAAAAUGCACAGCUAUCUUGCCUUUUAAAUAAACAGCCGAAAGAUUCAAGCGAGGCUGUAAAUGCAAUAGAAGUUGUUGGGGGGCCACCCCCACAAAUAUUUGAUGCUGAUGAUACUCUGUCUGUUCUUACGAUUACUAAGUUUUAAAUAAAAGUUCCGUCGAUCUUGCAGCCCUUAUCAAUAUCAAAAUUACUGAAAUGGCCAAUCAAAACAAAGAAGGCUGAGCUUUAACGUUCACCAAGACCAACAUAAAUCAAGUUUGAGAAAUAGCAGGUCUCAGUAUUUGAUGUUGAUGUUAGUCUGAUUGUUGUCAAUGACCCAGUUUUAAAAGUUAAAUGUUUCGUUGGUCUUGCAGCUCUUACCAAUAUGUGAAACAAGUAUGAAGUAGGUUGGAUUGAAAGAUGAAUAGUGUGCAAAAUGUAAACUUAAAACAAAAUACAAAAAUGCAGGCGGGGGGGUUGCCAAAUUGCCUGUCUCAAUAUUUGAGUAAGAUUGUUGUUAGAAUGACCCAGUUUUAAAAGUUUUGUCAAAAUGCCUGAAUUGGCCAAUCAACUUAAAUGCAGAGAUUUGCAGUCUACAGAAACCAAACAUGAACUACAGCUCAACCAUGUAGUUUUUAAUGGCGAAAGAGUCUGAAGUAAUAUGUAAACAGUGUAAUUUGAUAUAUUACACAGACUAUCAGGCUGAUGAACACUUGACACACCUCACACAACCUCUUUCCAUACCCCUCACUGCAUACCAUCAAGAUGUAGCAUGCACUGCACUUUAACCAAAUUCUUACUUACAAUAUUGCCUACAAUAAUUUUUCACCAACAGUCAAACUAUGUGUACAUCUUUUUGACUGUGUACUUGUCUAUCUGUGCCUACAUGUGUGUAAUGUGUAUUUUUCUUAACGUAUUUAUUGUCUUUCAUGUAUUUAUUGUCUUUUACGUAUUAUUGUCAAUAUUGUUAAUAGUAAUAGCAUAUUGUUUUGUUUUUUGGAGUGUGUUGUAUUUUGCACUGUCUGGAGCCAGCACCUAACCUUUUCCCUCAUCAUAGUACACGUGCUGCUAAUGUCGCAAGUAUGCAAGUACAUGGUGCAAGCUGCUAAUUUAAAUAAAAAAUAUGAAAAUCAA